UCUUUUUCAUAUGUUAUCCUAAAAAAAAUGAAUAUAUUCUGUUACAUUUUGCUAACCUGUAGGCAAGGUACAAAAGAGAAUACUUGAAAUCACACUCCAGUGCCUAGGGCACUGUGCACUUCUCUGGAAAACUUCUAGUCUUAUAACCAUUGUAGCAAAAUAUGUUCAGUGCUCCCUGUCAUUUAUUAACAUAUUCUUGUCUUUAUGAAACUGCCUAAGUUCAAACAAGUUUUAGCUCAGCUGUCAAUAAAAAAAAAAAUAGUUCUCUGGAUUAGACAGUUUUAUUUUAAAAGAGGCAUGGAUCCUUUAACUUUGGAAUUAUUCCCAAAAAACUGAAAGAAAAUUCUGCUAUCAGACUACCAGAAAGCAAUUAUGUUAAAAAACUCUUGUCAUAAAAUAAUAAGACAAUCAUAAAUUCUGUUCCUACAUAAUCAUCACUAUCAUCAUCAUCUACCUUUAAGGUUUUAUGGCACUAACAUUCUUCUCACUAAUCUACCUAAAAACCUGACCUCACAGAUCUCAACUCUUACAUAUUUAACAAACAGGAGCUGAUGGAUCAACUGGGUAAAUCAAUAGAUCGGAAGUAAAUACCGAAGUCAAGUGUCCUCCAAAGAAAUUUUCCUGCUACCAGCCCCAGAUGGCGAUAUGAGAAAGUUUGUAAAAGUAACAACAUGGUAAAUAGAAUUUGGAAAUGAUCCUCUAUCCUGAAGUGCUAAAAAAGGAUCCCUCCAUGAUUUCCUGAAUGUUUCUGUCGUCAAGGUGUAGAAAUUACUUAUGAGAGAGGAACUGAGAGGAAGAAAACACCAGAGUGCUGCUGUUACUGCUGGUGCUAUACCUGAUCCUGAACAGUAGAAACCGUGGUGACUGUGUAUCCUCUUAAAGUUGCUAUGUAAGAGUGAACCUGGUGAAUGGCUUCAAAUCAAGGGUUUUACUCUCAAGCUUUGGAAAAGCAUAUGACCAUCACUGAGGAAGGCAUUCCUAUGGUCCCAGCAUCACAGAGAGUGCCUGACUGGUUGAAGGGGACUUGUGAUCAUCUAGUCUAAUCCCCACCCUGGUCAAGCAGUGUCAGCUACAGCUGGUUGCCCAGGGCUAUGUCCAGUUGUGUUUCGGAUAUCUACAAAGUUGGAGACACCAUGACCUCUGUGAGUAACCUGUGGCAGUGUUUGACGAUCUU
rnacentral:lncRNA from 1 species